AUUAAGCAAACAAUCCUGCCGCUUUCUCUCUCCUAACUUCCAUCGCCAUCUUCUUUAACGUCCUCCAUUGAAACUGCAGCUUCCUUGUCAAAGGAAUCGGAAGAUCUUAAGAUCCCAGUAUCAUCAGAGAAUGUUUUUGAAAUGAGCAAUAAUCGGAUUGGGAAUUCGAAGCAAUCUUCCCUGGGAAAAGAACCAAACUCUUAUUAGCAUGAACUUUAGGAAUUAGAAAAAGAUGGCACUAAUUCAUUGCAAGGAAUUAAAGAUGUCCUAGAUGAUAACGAGGAAGAGAGAGACGAUGCAUUUUCAAUGGAGGACGCUGGAGGAGACGAUGACGGAAGUUAGAAGAGAGAAAGCAGGAAGAUUGUUUUCUUAAUCAAAACGGGGAGUUUUGAGGAUUGGGUUAAGUUAACUAAGGUUAUAUUGUGGGUCAUACAUUCAUAUUAUUUUAUUUCAAACAUUAACGCUAAUUUGAAAA